rnacentral:lncRNA from 1 species
GUGUGAGCAACCACGACGAAACUUUCUGUCGAAAAUACUGCAGAUUGUUCAGCAGUAAAACUUGAUUUUCCGUGUACAUGUUGCACAACAGUGGAUGAACUACGUCAUCGAUCAUACAAAAGCACGCGCUUUGGGUCAGUGCGACACGAAGCGGAAGCGAGUGUAAAGGAAAUAUUGAGCACAUAAAUUCUGUUUAUCUUCGCUGUUUCCUGUGUUGACAGUUCAAUUGGAGGGACAUGCUGAAUGCCAGAAGAAAUUACAGACAACAAUACUGCUCAGUGCAGUAACCAGACCUAAAAAAAAACACUGCUCAAGGCAAACUUUUGGGACAGAGUGCUGCAUACAUGGGCUUAUGCACAAACUGAGAUUUUGCAAGUCAACUGUCAAAGUCAUAAGAGAGAUCUAUAGUGGACAAUGUUGAACAGAGUUGAAGUCCUGGAAUCUCGUUCAACUGCAGAUAGCAGCAUGGCGUAAAGCAGACGUCUUGUUUCCCAGUCCAAUUUUAGUCAGGUAUUCUUGGUGGUAUGAAACUGCAGUCAACACAGGUUUUUAGAGGUCUGCAAGUACAGAGUUUUAAAUUGUGAAA